GGUUUGAUCAUGGCUCAGAUUGAACGCUGGCGGGAUGCUUUACACAUGCAAGUCGAACGGCAGCACGGACUUCGGUCUGGUGGUGAGUGGCGAACGGGUGAGUAAUGUAUCGGAACGCUUAGUAGCGGGGGAUAACUACGCGAAAGCGUAGCUAAUACCGCAUACGCCCUUCGGGGGGAAAGCGGGGACCUUCUUCGGGCCUCGCACUAUUAGAGCGCCGAUAUCGGAUUAGCUAGUUGGUGGGUAACGGCUCACCACAGCGACGAUCCGUAGCUGGUUUGAGAGGACGACCAGCCACACUGGGACUGAGACACGGCCCAGACUCCUACGGGAGGCAGCAGUGGGGAAUUUUGGACAAUGGGGAAACCCUGAUCCAGCCAUCCUGCGUGUGCGAUGAAGGCCUUCGGGUUGUAAAGCACUUUUGGCAGGAAAGAAACGAGGCACGGGAUAAUACCCUGCACUGACGGUACCUGCAGAAUAAGCACCGGCUAACUACGUGCCAGCAGCGCCACGGUAAUACGUAGGGUGCAAGUUGCGUUAAUCGGAAUUACUGGGCGUAAAGCGUGCGCAGGCGGUUCGGAAAGAAAGAUGUGAAAUCCCAGAGCUUAACUUUGGAACUGCAUUUUUAACUACCGAGCUAGAGUGUGUCAGAGGGAGGUGGAAUUCCGCGUGUAGCAGGAAUGCGUAGAUAUGCGGAGGAACACCGAUGGCGAAGGCAGCUCUCUGGGAUAACACUGACGCUCAUGCACGAAAGCGUGGGGAGCAAACAGGAUUAGAUACCCUGGUAGUCCACGCCCUAAACGAUGCCGACCAGCUGUUGUGGGGCCUUCGGGCCUUUAUGCAGCUAACGCGCAGUUGACCGCCUGGGGAGUACGGUCGCAAGAUUAAAACUCAAAGGAAUUGACGGGGACCCGCACAAGCGGUGGAUGAUGUGGAUUAAUUCGAUGCAACGCGAAAACCUUACCUACCCUUGACAUGUCUGGAAUCCCGAAGAGAUUUGGGAGUGCUCGCAAGAGAACCGGAACACAGGUGCUGCAUGGCUGUCGUCAGCUCGUGUCGUGAGAUGUUGGGUUAAGUCCCGCAACGAAAGGCAACCCUUGUCAUUAGUUGCUACGAAAGGGCACUCUAAUGAGACUGCCGGUGACAAACCGGAGGAAGGGGAUGACGUCAAGUCCUCAUGGCCCUUAUGGGUAGGGCCACACGUCAUACAAUGGUCGGGACAGAGGGUCGCCAACCCGCGAGGGGGAGCCAAUCCCAGAAACCCGAUCGCAGUCCGGAUCGCAGUCUGCAACUCGACUGCGUGAAGUCGGAAUCGCUAGUAAUCGCGGAUCAGCAUGUCGCGGUGAAUACGUUCCCGGGUCUUGUACACACCGUCCGUCACACCAUGGGGAGUGGGUUUUACCAUGAAGUAGUUAGUCAACCGUAAGGAGGGCGAUUACCACGGUAGGAUUCAUGACUGUGGGUGAAGUCGUAACAAGGUAA
rnacentral:rRNA from 1 species